AGCGAACGCUGGCGGCAGGCCUAACACAUGCAAGUCGAACGGACCCUUCGGGGUUAGUGGCGGACGGGUGAGUAACACGUGGGAACGUGCCUUUAGGUUCGGAAUAGCUCCUGGAAACGGGUGGUAAUGCCGAAUGUGCCCUUCGGGGGAAAGAUUUAUCGCCUUUAGAGCGGCCCGCGUCUGAUUAGCUAGUUGGUGAGGUAACGGCUCACCAAGGCGACGAUCAGUAGCUGGUCUGAGAGGAUGACCAGCCACACUGGGACUGAGACACGGCCCAGACUCCUACGGGAGGCAGCAGUGGGGAAUCUUGCGCAAUGGGCGAAAGUCUGACGCAGCCAUGCCGCGUGAAUGAUGAAGGUCUUAGGAUUGUAAAAUUCUUUCACCGGGGACGAUAAUGACGGUACCCGGAGAAGAAGCCCCGGCUAACUUCGUG
rnacentral:rRNA from 1 species